rnacentral:tRNA from 1 species
AGAAACUUAGGAUAACAUAAACCAAAGGCCUUCAAAGCCUUAAAUAAGAGCUAAACCUCUUAGUUUCUG